CAGAAGGGACUCUACCUCGGGUCAAGCUUCUCCUCGACGCUGACCAACCUGGAAAGAUGACAUUGAAAAAAACUCCAAGAAAUGUAGCAGCGGAUUGAUGCGCUUCAGGCGCCAAAGCAACCGAACAACGAUAUGAGGUUUAACAUUGACCCACCAUUCAUCCGGAAGAUCAUGGAUGAGCCCCUUCCACCUUGAUUCAAGAUGUCCUAGAUGGAGCCUUAUAAUGGAACCACUAAUCC
rnacentral:lncRNA from 1 species